CCUACGGGAGGCAGCAGUGGGGGAUAUUGCACAAUGGGGGGAACCCUGAUGCAGCGACGCCGCGUGGGUGAAGGAGUGCUUCGGCAUGUAAAGCUCUAUCGGCAGGGAAGAAGCAAGACGGUACCUGACUAAGAAGCCCCGGCUAACUACGUGCCAGCAGCCGCGGUAAUACGUAGGGGGCGAGCGUUAUCCGGAUUCACUGGGUGUAAAGGGAGCGUAGACGGCCAUGCAAGCCAGGGGUGAAAGCCCGGGGCCCAACCCCGGGACUGCCCUUGGAACUGUGCGGCUAGAGUGCGGGAGGGGCAGGCGGAAGUCCUGGUGUAGCGGUGAAAUGCGUAGAUAUCAGGAGGAACACCGGCGGCGAAGGCGGCCUGCUGAGCCGCGACUGACGUUGAGGCUCGAAAGCGUGGGGAGCGAACAGGAUUAGAUACCCUAGUAGUC
rnacentral:rRNA from 1 species